rnacentral:lncRNA from 1 species
GGCGAAGAAAAUAUGGGAAAUACAUUAAAAUCUUUAGAAUAUAUCUAGGACUCAGAAAUAAUUGUAAAAGUAAACACAGAGAAGAACCUCGAAAAAUUAGGGUUUUCAGAGAAAGGUCUCAAAGCUUCGAGAAAAGCCUGGAAUGGACUCGUCGGAGGGUAAAGGACUCGGAGCAUUAAGAUUUGCCAGAGAAAUCCUGGACACAUGUGCAAAACCAUUGGAGCACCUCUAGUCAAAACACCCUUGAAAUACAGCUCCGAUCUUCGAAUCGAAGGACCAGGAGAGGUGAAGAGUGAACGGGUGAA